GACGAACGCUGGCGGCGUGCUUAGCACAUGCAAGUCGAACGGAAAGGCCCUGCUCUUGUGGGGUGCUCGAGUGCCGAACGGGUGAGUAACACGUGAGUAUCCUGCCCUUGACUUUGUGAUAACUUCAGGAAACUGGGGCUAUUAUCGGAUAGGAGCUCCUGCUGCAUGGUGGGCGUUGGAAAGUUUCGGCGGUUGGGGAUGGACUCGCGGCUUAUCAGCUUGUUGGUGGGGUAGUGGCUUACCAAGGCUUUGAUGGGUAGCCGGCCUGAGAGGGUGAACGGCCACAUUGGGACUGAGAUACGGCGCAGACUCCUACGGGAGGCAGCAGUGGGGAAUAUUGCGCAGUGGGCGGAAGCCUGAUGCAGCAGCGCCGCGUGCGGGAUGACGGCUUUCGGGUUGUAAACCGCUUUCGCCUGUGACGAAGCGGGAGUGACGGUAAUGGGUAAAGAAGCACCGGCUAACUACGUG
rnacentral:rRNA from 1 species